rnacentral:lncRNA from 1 species
GCGCGGGCGAUAUCGGCGCCCGCAGUCUGCAAGCAGCGGCUGGAGGAGACAGACAUACGUGGGUUAAAGCUGCUACACAGAAGACUGGAGGUGCAGGAAGUGCAUCUGCCUUAAGCCUGUACGUGGGAGCCAUGUCCGGGGUCCCGUGAGGGGUCACCCAAGGGUGUGCUCAGAGCAGAGCCUGGAGAGGUGGGCAGGGGGUGGGCGUGGCAGGGGCAGGAGAAGAGCAGCACUG